ensembl:lncRNA
CCGAGGUUACGCUAGACUCGAGCGUGAGCACGUUCUAGAUAGCAGCCCAAGUGGCUAUGAAAGCUAAGCAUUGCCGGAUAAUGUCUAAUAGUAAGAAGACGGUAGACGGGGUCUGGCAUUGCGGACGUUGCGCCUAAACAACUCCACGGCGGAAGUUUGUGUUUGAAAGUUCAGAAGCAACCAAGCUUACGUUGUGCUAAUAAACCAGUCCAGUGCUCAACCCAACCUGUCUCCGUGGGUUCAAUUAAGAAGCAGAAGAGCUGCAGUGUACCCAAGGUCACAUCUGCUCUAUAAGGUGUCCGGCCGCCAUCCCCUAUUCACGUGCUUUUGUGUAUUGGAGAACCUGCUCAGCAAGCUGCAGUCUGCAACUUCUGCGGGAGCAAAAGCACAAGGGUGAAAGUCUUUGGUCCCCUUCAACUCCUGAGCAACAACAGCAGUGGCAUCUUCCCCUUCUUUCCCCUAAGGCUGUAGCUGCUCCAAACAAAGUUUGAGGCCACAGAGCGCAACACCCUCCUCACACACUCCCCAGGAUUGGACCCCCCAACUAGGCUCAGAUGGGAAAUCUAAGGAAAUCAAACAACCAUGGUUAAGGACUUUGUCUCCGCCCUCUUGUUCCUCCUGACGGCCUGAUCCCAAUCAUCUAAACAGUCAGGUGGGCCAAAACAAUUAGAAAUUACACUCUUUUAAAUGUGUUGCAUGUCACCACUUAUUUAUUUGUCGCCCAUUAACACACAUUAACACACAAAUAUUUUUAUUGGCCUUUUUAGCCAGGUUUUAGGAUCGGGCAAAUCUUUGUCCUUUGCCCUCUGUGUGGGCUUGUGGAGUGGCCAGUAGCUGCAUGUCUUCUGAAAUGGAAAACAAAAUAGUUUUGCAGAACUUGCAUAGAAUUUUUGAAAUGAUUGACAUAAAGGUUUUUCGCAUGUACUUACAUCUCCCUCUUUUAUAAUCCAAUUACUGGCCACUAUGCCAACAGUCCUUUCCCCCAAAAAUUUGACGAUGCUAUACAUUCUGUAAUCAAGAACAGAGAGGUUAAUUUAAUACAGUAAAGAAUAAUUGUGUCUGUACAAGAAAUUGCAAUGAUAAUACACUGAGCAAAAUACAACAUACUGCAAUGUCAUGAAGAAUGGCCAUGAAGAGGAUUUUUUCCCCCACAGGAAUCUUGAUUGCCUUUCUUUUCAGGUUGUCAUUUUGGAUCCAUCUCAAAACGGUGUCAUUGUUCUUGUACUUCAGUACUCCGAUUAAUGUGGAGUCACAAGGGACACUGAAAAGUGGUUCUGGGUGCUGGUAUACACGGCAAAGCUGGCUUCCGUCCCUCUCCUCUAUGACCUCGCAGCAUUCGCGGCGAUUCAAAAUAAAAGAAGAAUUGGACCUCUGCCUACCAUGCUCCAUUGGCUGUCCAGCGCAUUCCUCAAGCCUUUUCACCACUUGUGACAGGGGGCAUCUUCCACUCCUUACCAUCCUCUUUAUUUUCUUGAGACAAUUUACAAAUUUAAAAGCGCUACAAUUGUCCAAUCCUCCAAAGGUCACGGCAUCCUCCACAAUGUGCAACAUUGAGUGCACGUUGUAGACCAGAAACUGGUUACCAUAAAGUUCUCAGCCUCUCUCAACAAAGAAUCGGAGGAGAUCAGCAGCAUAUCUCCAGUGUUGCUCGACCAAUGCUGGACUUACAACUCUUUAAGAUCUCUCGGUUUAAGAGCGAAGCUGGAAGGGAUGUGUGGACGGAGGUUGGUGAGCCUGCUGCUGACCUCCUCUAUUUGGGUUGCCGACAUCUUCAGGCCCUUCACUCCUCUGCACCACAUGAAGAGAAGCCUCUUCAUUACACCCAAGCAUGCCUGGUGCAUGUAAUCGAUGGGAAAUGCACUGAUCAUGUUUAUGGGUAAAUCCAAAAGCGGGGUGCUGCCAUGAUGAUGCUCGCCCUGUGUCUGUUGGCGGAAGGAGUCGUCACUCACGAGCCACCACCUCUGUGUCUUGGCCACUGGACAGGAGGUUGUUGACAUCCAUCACCAUGUCUUCCAGGAAUUCCAGAUUCUGUGGCUUCGAACCUCCACAAGUCAGGGUGAUAGGGAAGACUGACACUGGUUUUAAAUGGACAGCACAAAGGAUGGGCCACAUUGUUCUUCCUGAGCUCUUAAACAGAGGAAAAUGGACAUACUCCAUACCAGACUUUGAUGUGAUCCUGACCUCCCUUGGUGUCUUCAGGAGUGUCCUGGUGGUGGAAGGCAGGGACCGAACUGAAGACGCUGGGAUCCACCAUUUAAGAGACAUCCGGAAUCAACAGGACAUCUUCACAACCCUGACACGGCAGCGACAGUUGAGCCAGCCUCUCUGCAGCUUAAGGACAACUUCAGCUUGAUCGAAAACUGGGGGGCAAUUCGUAUAAUAAUAGGAUAAAAACACCAGAUUUGGUGUUUUAAGGUUUAUUAGUCUGAGGUUUAAUUAAUGUAUCAAAGCAACACAGCAC